ACAAUGGAAAGGAUUUAGAUUUAGAAAUCUGGUUUUUCUUCCACCAAAAGCAUUCUGGGUUGAAUACUAGCUCCACUCUCCAGAUGGAUUGGUCAAAAGCCCAGAGCCUCAUCAGCAUCCCAGAGUCCAGUCUUUCAUCAUCCCAAUAGCUGGUUGCUGAAACUUGAGGUUCUACAGUAGAAGGAAUGCUGAGUUUAAAGUCUAGAGAUGUGAUUGAGUUCCAGUUUUACCUAUUACUGCCACUAUGACCUUGAGUACGCCAUCUUUGAGAGCCCCAGGAGUAAUGAUGACACAGGAAGAUAAAGACAAGAGAAAUAGCCAGCCCUGAUCAAAUACAUAUGAAGAAAUGCAUUCUGGUGAAAACAAAAUUUUAAAAGCACUCAGGGAUUGAUUCUGAAGAUAUCUUGAAGAAUAGAAGAUUAUACUGGAAUGGAAAAGAUCAGGCCUUUGUUAAAAAACAACCAAACACCCCAAAACUGAAGAUAUUAGCAGUUUCUGACUCAUAUGCCUAUUUUUUCAUCCAUAUACUUUCAGUGGGGGGUUUAUCAGUGAAAAGAAGAGAAGGGGACAGUCAAGCUUUUAUGGAUGAUUCUCUACAGCAGACCACAUCUUUACAGUCACAAAUUGACUUAAGAGUGGCAAAAAUAAGAUCCUGCCAUGUUUACUUAUUAUUGAUUUAAAGGAAGCAUUUGACUUGGUUGAGCCAGGUGUGGUGUUAAAGGCUCUCCUUAGAGGAAGCCUCUCUCACACGGUACAUCAAAAUCACACAGAGUUCUCUGACAGAUGUGACUACAGGGAUCUCUCUGUCCAACCAUCUGCUAAAUAUGGACAUCAAACAAGAUGCCAAGCUGCGAGAUAGACAGUCGCCAUUUAUCCAGUGCCAUGGAAGAUGUUCGGUGUGAAGCCAGAAAAAAAGAAUGACUCUGUUGAUUGUUAGAGGGGUUCUCCAAGUGCUCUUGUUGACAGAUGAGUUCAUGUUAAUUGUAUAGAAAUCUAGAACUUAAGAACUCCUUAAGGAAAUCCACAGUAAAGCAAAGGAUAUUAGUUUAACUAUUUACUGACAAGUAAACAAG